UUCUCUAUCUCAUUUUAGGAUCAGAUCUCCUGGACAGAAGACCUUCAGCUUGACUUUUGCAUUAUAAUAUCGGGCUACUUUUAUCGAUAUACUGUCAUCCGAACUUGAGCUUACUGUCAGACUUUCGAAAGUAAAUUUAGAUCGGCUCUUCGACAUUCUGAAUUGCUCGGCUCAUUAUACUGUUCUACUCUUACUGAUGGUAAUCC
rnacentral:lncRNA from 1 species